rnacentral:lncRNA from 1 species
AGGCUCACUGAGUCUCUCUAGGUUAAAGGGACACUCCACGGGAACUAGCUUUGCUUCAGAUUUUGCAUUCCCCUCCCAACCUCUUUACCUCUCUAACCAAGUCUUUCGCUCUUUUUGUUUUGCUUAUUAUUCUCGCUUCCCUAGCAAGAAAACGAGAAAGUUUUUGCCUUUCAUCGAGCCAAGGCUUAUUAUUCUCGCUUCCUUUACCUCUCUAACCAAGUCUUUCGCUCUUUUUGUUUUGCUUAUUAUUCUCGCUUCCCUAGCAAGAAAACGAGAAAGUUUUUGCCUUUCAUCGAGCCAAGAAAUACUCAGUCCUCUCCUUCUCUUAGCCAAAUCCGUUCAAACAAAGGUGUGGGAUUCCCCUAAGGACCGACGGGUUAGAUCAGAGCAAGUUCCUCCCGGUGUCUUUAUUAGCUAGUAGGCUU